rnacentral:lncRNA from 13 species
UGCAGAGCCACAAGGGGGCGCCCUAGACUGUGGUCUGGUGGUAAAGUCAUAAUGGAGGAAGGAUCUCCUAGAUGCUGGGUUCAGAAUGAAAUAGGAGCAUAGGCUGAGCAUCUAUCUGCAGGGGAGCUCACUGGGCAUGCACAGGGCCUCACUUACUAAACGCAGACACUUUCUGAAGUGGGUGCUUGUGCCACAUUGUGAUGAGCUCACAGCACAGCCAUCAUGUUGGUAGCUGAAAUUAGACAGAGGACGAAUAUUUACACCAUGGAAAUUGGAAACACUAGAAACCAGGGAUUUCUCCUCCUGUAGAGCCAGCGGUUAAAACUGCUACCUGCUCACCACUGCCCACCAGGCAGCAGAAGGUGCACACCUGAGAGCAGAUAACUGCAUUUGAGAAUUUCAACCUGCAUCUGACGUGCUUCUCCUGGAAAGCAAGAUGGCUGAGAUUGUCCUCUUUGUGAAGCCACCUAGGGGCUCAGUGACAGCAGCAGAUGGUGACGGGGCAGGAAGUGAAGUCUCCUCCAGUGCCAGAGGCUCAGGCGAUUGGGAGUUUAGGCAGGUGCACAAGAAGACCAGGCGAAGACGCAGGGGGAGGACAGCUGUGUGCUAGCCGAGGAGGGGGCUCCGGAAGAACCCACACUGCCAGCACCUUACCAUGUUCUUCAAGCUUCCAGAAGUGUGAGAAAGUAAAUUUGUUGUUUAAGCUUCCCAGCUGUGUGUUCUUUGCCAUGGCAGCCUGAUCUGAGCGGACUAAUAUACUGUGAGGGCUUCCCUACCUCACCUGUUCACGGGGCCUGGUCUCAGAUCAGCACAGGGAGGGCACAAUCAGAACACCUGGUUACAGAUGAUGGACAACUUGCUAAGAGUGCUGGGAGAGUCCAGAGCACCUAAUUCACCUGGGGCAGGUCAGGGCCGGCUCUCCAGGGCCACAGGAUCUGCUGUGGAAGGGGCAGCAGAC